GUAGUCGUGGCUUAAUGGUUAGAGCGGCAGACUUGUAACCUGAAGUUGAAUCUGAAGGUUGUGGGUUUGAGUCUCAGGUCUGGUAGG